rnacentral:rRNA from 1 species
UGAAGAAUCUUCCACAAUGGGGGCAACCCUGAUGGAGCGACGCCGCGUGAGGGAUGACGUCCUAACGGAUGUAAACCUCUUUUGUCUGGGAAUAAAUUUUUGAAUGUACCAGAUGAAUAAGCACCGGCUAAUCUCGUGCCAGCAGCCGCGGUAAUACGAGAGGUGCAAGCGUUAUCCGGAAUUACUGGGUGUAAAGUGUCUGUAGCUGGUUGGCCAAGUCUUGGGUAAAAUUUCGGCGCUCACCGCCGAACGCGUCCUAGAAACUAGCCAACUUGAGUCUGGAAGGGGCGGGCGGAAUUCCUGUUGUAGGGGUAAAAUCCGUUGAUAACAGGAGGAACACCAAACGCGAAGGCAGCUCGCUGGUCCAGUACUGACAGUCAAAGACGAAAGCGUGGGGAGCAAACAGGAUUAGAUACCCCCGUAGUCCCUGAGCGGGCUGGCAAGGCGCAU